rnacentral:tRNA from 1 species
AUUUAAUUAGUUUAUAUUAAAACAUUAAAUUGCAAAUUUAAAAAAAAAUUAAAUUUAUUAAAUU